ensembl:lncRNA
UGGGUAGUGUCCAGCAGCCUGAGCUGUGCGCUAGCGCCUUCCUGCACGAGGCGUGUAAAGGAAGAAAACCCAAUUGUCUGUGUCCAAAUUGUCUUAAAAAAACCCACCAAAACAACACAGUAGGCUAGAAGGCAAUAUGAGAUGGGGAAAUGCAAGGAAACGAGAAAAAAUUAUACUGCCGUGUUCUUAAAAUGGUGAAAUGUGGUGUGGGUGAAGGCAGAAUUUUUUGCGUCUUAGGUGGGGUGGGAGCAGGAGUGGAUUGAGAUCCACUCUGUCUAGGAAGAAUUUCCACACGACUAUUUCACUAUAAAGGGUCCUUUUCAGUAAUAACGUGUGGGUUGGUUAACAGGUGUUUUGAUCCUAAGCACUGUGGCAUAAAGAAAUAGUUAUUCAAAUUGUGUUUUUUCUUAUGCAACGAGGAAUUACUGAACUUACCGCUGAUUGUGCUUUGUGGAGUCUGCGUGUUGUGUUCUGCAUUAUAGUGUUGUGUUUUUUGUGGUUUUUUUUUUUUUCUCUAACCAGUUGUAGCCACUUUUAAGGGUGAGGCACCAGAGAAAACUCAGAGGAAGAUUUCCUCCUUUGGCUUGAACCAGGAAAGCAAACUCGGAUUGCCAAAGAUCAAAGUAUCAAAAGAAUCCGGUAACGUGAGAGCACCCACCGGCUCUAGAGCUGUGCCUGUCUUUCCCCUAGAGAUGGAGCCAGAGUGUGGAAGAUUCCAGUGCUCUAACUGCAAAUCUGAGGAUGAUGUGCCUUUUAAAUGUCCAUUAUGUGACUUCACUUGCUGCAAAACAUGCUGGGAGAAGUUCCUAAAGAUGGUGAAGAAGUGCCCAGAGUGCCACAGUGAUGUGAAGAAGCAGCGAUUAAUCCAAGUUUUCUUCUGGUCCCAAUCUCACUGACAGGAAGGACAAGUACUUUGCACCAGCAGGAAGAAAUCACUGCACUCUGGCUCUCGAGCUGAGCAGCAGCAGGAUGAAGGUUCAUGUAAAUAUCUUUGAUUCAUGCUGUGCACCAACACGUAUCGGUUCUUCCUACAAAGGUGAUCGAGUCUGAAAGGUCUCUCCUGCCAGUGGUUGGAGACAAAGCAGAAUAUUGUCCUCUGUUGGAGCUAAGAAGGUUAAUUUGUUAUUUUAGCCUGUAAAUUCUGCUGUGGCCACUCGGGCUGAAAUUUUCUAUCCUGGGGGUGACUGUCCCAGGCCCUUCAGGUAAUACCAGAUCCUGGAAAACCCCUGGUGAUGGCAGUAGAGUGGAGCCAAGCUGCCCAGACUCCCCAUCCUUACCCCCCUGGUGUUCCUGGAAGAAAUGAUUCACACUCGCUGUCUGGCAGCAUCUGCUGUCUCCAAUAGCAGAAGAUACUGAAAGGAUGACUUUAUUUUUUUAAAAACAAACCAAAUUCCCUUUGGUGCACCCCAAAGCCUGAUUCCUUCCAUCAUGCUGGGCUUUUUUUUUUUUUUUGCUUCUAAGGAGAUUUUAUUUCCUGCUCAGCACCGAUAUUACCAUUGUGCCUGCCUUAUCUGAUGUUUACUUUCCAACAUCAUAAAGGAACUAAUUGAUUUAAGAGUUUAAAAUAAAUCAACGUUAGAUGGGUUAAAAAAAAAAAUA